GAAGGGCCUCGGCCAGAAACACUGGCUGUUUAUUCUCUUCCAUAGCAGCUCUCUGCCCGGCUGAGAUCCUCCAGCGUACUAAGUGUGCUCCUCCGGAUUUCCUACAUCUCCAGAACAUCUUGUGUUGAAGAUUUCUGAGCGAUUGCUCAGAGGGAUCAGGAAAAAGAAUGUCCCCCUUCGCUCAAAGGUGCUGUGUGAGCAAUGCCCGAUUCGACAAUGGGAAGCUACACUACUGGACUCUGAGGAGUUCCAAACCGCAGUACAUUUGGACGAAGAUAGCCAUGAAAUACAGAAGAAGACUUCAAGCCCCCUCCCUGCAUGAGAAGGAAAAAGAAUCAAAACUCACAAACCCAAAACUGCUCCACCCCUUCCUCACACAAAAACCAAUAGACCGCCCACAGAGAAAACUACAGCUAGAAUCAAACCCCCAACCCCAACCCUCUCCCUUGCACAAUGGCCAACAGAUUGCCCACAUGGAAAAUGGCAGCCAGAAUAUCAAAAUCUCCAAACCCACAUCCCAUCCCUCACAAAGAACAGUGACAACAUCAAACCCCAACUCCUCCCCUGCAAAAAACAGAACCAAAAGCACCAAAGCCCCAACCCCUCUCCCACACAAAAAGAACAACAGAUAGCCCACACAGAUAAACCAACACGAACAUCAAACUCCAAAUCCGCAACCCCCCCCACCCAAAAACCAGCACGUUGCCCACCCAGAACCCCUACCCACCAAUUGGCAACAAGAAAUAAAAGACAGAAAACUGAAGGAGGGCGAUGUAAACUGCAGUCCAAUUAGCACAUAGAUCUCUGAACUUCAAAAACAUCCUCCUGCCAGAAUCAAGGAUAGCGGCCACUUGAAGUCUCGCAAAGAGUGACUGCUGUGCCGCCAACUCAGCUACCAGCCACCGUCGACCCAUGGCCUCCGUAGACAUAGAGGAAAAUGGCAAAAAAUGAGAUAAUUGCAGCUACAAUGAUUCAUUACUCUUAUAUAUUCCUGAUCACUUUGACUAUCUCACCAAUGACUGAACAGUGAUGAAUGCCAAGGCUAAUAAUUUGCCACAACCAAAUCAAAUGCCUUUCUUUUGCU